rnacentral:lncRNA from 1 species
CACUUAACCCUUUAAAAAGAUUUUGUGAAGCUUGAAGGGGUUUUCAAUUUUGAAAGUGACAAAAAUUGUAUUCAAAAGGAAAAUAACUCAGAGUCGCCACUUGACAUUUGAUUUCGGUAUGCCAGGUCAACGUUUUUGUAAAAAUAAUUUUUUCUUUCGAAACACUUGAGACUCUAAAUUAAGACUGCACAGAGAUUCAGGUAAGGGGGAAGGGUUAUUUGACUCGGGGAGAAGGUGUUACAAACUUUCCGAGUCCCGUGAAAGUCACGAUUGCAUACUUAAUUUAGUUGGCUUUUAAAAUAUUUGAAUUGAGGUAAAAAAAAUCACACAAAAAGGCUCGAGGUCGUCCCUGCCUAAUAAGAGAGUGUAAGGGAAAGAAAAGAAAAGUCCUAAGCUAUCCUAUACUACAGAUUCUCUACCGUGCUCGUCAAGACUUUCAAAAUGUUUAGAUAAUUAUUCAGGGCAUACCCUGGAUAAUAAUAUUUACAAACUUCACAGGGCCUUGCCCCAUAAAUUUAACUAAGGGACAACCUCACCUUACAUCCGAACAUUGUAAAUUUAAAUAAACUUUCUAAAGUUUGCCUACCUAAAUGAUAACGUCCUAAACAUGCUCCUGAUAGUCAAUGUAAUAAGAUAACAAAAAAUAGAAAUGAAACGAUAAAAAUAAAAUAAAAUAAAUUAAUUAAAGCAUGUAACAAUUUUAUUUAUGUUUGGCUUUUCUCCUCAUUCCCACAACAUAUCGGCAUUACUCCAAAAAACCGAAACCAUAUUGAAUAAAUCUUUCAGCAGACGAAUCAACCAAAUCACGAACUGAAAAUAAGAUGAGCAAAGUGAUGGAUUUGAAGUAUGACAGGAGCCACCUAAAACCUCACCGGUUUAACUCACAGUAAUCUCUUAACAAAAAAAAAACUACUAGCAUCUAAAUGACGAGACCCUAACAAUGCUCCCACGAGAUGUCUGUGAAAAAAAUUAAUUUUUACUCGCCCCAAAGCCUUUUCCUUCAAGAAUCUACAAACAAUAGGUUAUUACCAAGAACAUAUAUUAUAAUAUGUAAAAAUGAGUCAGGUGGAAUUUUAAUGAGAAAAUCAAGUGCCUCAAAUCCUAAAGCAUGACUGCCAAUGCUCCCUAACCCCUCUGAAAUACAGAGAAAACCUUUUCACAAAUGAACCUCUCAUGCAAAUUCAAUCGAGAUUUUAUGGAACCAAAAUAUUGAUUGCGCACUUAUAUUGUAAAAGAAAGGGAGUUGUCGGAGAGUCAGCAAAUGACCAUAUAGUUCAUAUCAAAUCAGAUAACCUAGACUCAAAGCAGAUUACAGUCAAACAAUUACACAAUUUAAAGAUUGAGGGCCUAACGAAGAGAAAACUUAUGAAAUCUUCUCGAUCACUCACUUUUGUUCAAAAGAAAAAUUCACCAUACCAAGUGAAAAAGUAAGAAACAUAUGAUGAAAAAUAGUUAUAGCAGAUUUAAACACCCUUGCAACUAAUCGAGCACAUUCUGAUAGAUAAUUUAGAUAAUAGUGAAACCAAACCACACUUCAAUCCAGACAUUUGAAACUAAGCCAAACCUGAUCUACUCGCAACGACACUUAACUUUUAUUGUUAUACUCUUGUUAAGAAAGCUGAUCCGACAUGGAUUGAAGAAAAUCGCAACUAACUCAAGAUGGUCGGGCUAUAUCUUUUAAUGACUGAGUUGCAAAAUAGCAGAACCUAACAACUCUAGUUUAAUUGAACCAAGCAGUUUUGAAAAGAAAUGACUCUUCAAAACAGUUAAUGAGCUGUGUAUUAUCCCAGAAUUUUAUUCCAAACAACUCUAAAUCAACCCCUCCAAACUAAACCUCAAGCGAUUUCUGAAUCUGACAAACCUAAAGUUCCAAUCAUAUUUCAAUCACCAAAAAUAGAGUCGAGAAAACAGAAAUGAACCUGAAUGUGAAAACUUUGAUUAAUUCUGCUUUGAAUCAAAUACAAGUGAAUCCGGCGAUGAAAAAUCCCAAGAGGACAGCAGAUACAAUGCGAUAAGAUGCCAAAACCACGAACUCGAAUUCGAAUGGCCAACUCGAUCUCGGCUCAAUCAAUCUUCACGUCGAAACCAAAAAUCAGAAUUAAAAUUGAAGAGGGCAGAACUAUAUUAUAUUUUGGUUUUUUUUUUUACUUUUUAUUUCGAAAAUGGAACAAUACUUGAACAAAACCAAACUCAAACUUUUGUUUGUAUUUUUUGUUUUCUGGAAUUCGAACUCAACCAAAAAAUGGACCAAAGAAACAAACUCCCUAUUAGAAGCUAAUUCCGAAAAAACCCUCCUCCAAAAUCCGAGAAAUCACCCCAAUAUAUAGGGGGUCUCGAAUCUUCCAUUCUUCUUACCAAGAAAUCGCGUGUGGAGACCUCAAACAAAAAUCUGAAAAUUUCAUUUUUAACAAAAAUCAAAAAAUGGAAGUCUUGGAUCAAAGUUUAAUCUAACGGCUCCCAUUUUCCAACAUUUAUUUUCAAGGAUUCGGAUUUUCUGGUUUAAACAAAGGAAAUAAAAGAAGAAAUCCGCAAAAUCGGAUUGAAAUGAUGAGAUUUGGUACGAAAUGGAUGACGUGGGAGAAGGAGAAGAUGAGGAGGGACCAUGGGGGGACCAGGCCGAGCGAACUCGUCCGAUUCCAGCAAGUUCCGGCAGGUUUGGAGACGGCAGAGAUGAGGGUUGCGGCUGGUCUUAGGUUUUUAGGAUUAGAGUUUGGGAUUAUGUUUGGGGUGUUAUGUGUUUGGGGGAGUUGAU